GACAGAGGGUGCAAACGUUGUUCGGAAUUACUGGGCGUAAAGGGCGCGUAGCGGCCGCCUAAGUCAGACGUGAAAUCCCUCGGCUCAACCCGGGAAUUGCGCUUGAGACUGGGCUGGCUUGGAGUGCGGGAGAGGAUGGGUGGAAUUCCCAGUGUAGAGGUGAAAUUCGUAGAUAUUGGGAAGAACACCGGUGGCGAAGGCGGCCAUCUG
rnacentral:rRNA from 1 species